ACGAUGACUCUCGGCAACGGAUAUCUCGGCUCUCGCAUCGAUGAAGAACGUAGCGAAAUGCGAUACCUGGUGUGAAUUGCAGAAUCCCGUGAACCAUCGAGUCUUUGAACGCAAAUUGCGCCCGAGGCCACCCGAUCGAGGGCACGCCUGCCUGGGUGUCACGC
rnacentral:rRNA from 1 species